rnacentral:rRNA from 1 species
AACGUAGGAGCCAAGCGUUAUCCGAAUUCACUGGGCGUAAAGCGCGUGCAGGCGGUUGGGUAAGUUGGAUGUGAAAUCGCCCGGCUCAACUGGGCGAGGUCGUUCAAAACUGCCUGACUCGAGGACGGUAGAGGGAGGUGGAAUUCCCGGUGUAGUGGUGAAAUGCGUAGAGAUCGGGAGGAACACCAGUGGCGAAGGCGGCCUCCUGGACCGGACCUGACGCUCAGACGCGAAAGCUAGGGGAGCGAACGGGAUUAGAAACCCCGGUAGUCCUAGCUGUAAACGAUGUAGACUAGGUGUGGGUGGGGUAAAAGCCAUCCGUGCCGCAGCUAACGCGCUAAGUCUACCGCCUGGGGACUACGGCCGCAAGGUUAAA